rfam:Triticum aestivum genome assembly, contig: Triticum_aestivum_CS42_TGACv1_scaffold_130571_2BL
AAUAUACUCUUUCAGUCCGAAAAUACUUGUUGAAGAUAUUGAUAAAAAUGGAUGUAUGUAAAACUAAAACACGUCUAGAUACAUCUAUUUUUUCGACGAGUAUUUUCGGAUGGAGGGAGUAGUUU